rnacentral:rRNA from 1 species
UACGUAGGGGGCUAGCGUUAUCCGGAAUUACUGGGCGUAAAGGGUGCGUAGGUGGUUUCUUAAGUCAGAGGUGAAAGGCUACGGCUCAACCGUAGUAAGCCUUUGAAACUGGGGAACUUGAGUGCAGGAGAGGAGAGUGGAAUUCCUAGUGUAGCGGUGAAAUGCGUAGAUAUUAGGAGGAACACCAGUUGCGAAGGCGGCUCUCUGGACUGUAACUGACACUGGGGCACGAAAGCGUGGGGAGCAAACAGG